rnacentral:rRNA from 1 species
AAGCGUUUUCUUGGGCUCGCGGCCGGUAGAAGUUCUUUGGAACAGGACAUCAUAGAGGGUGACAAUCCCGUCCGUGACCGGUCGUGCGUUCAUCUACGAUACGCUUUCAAAGAGUCGAGUUGUUUGGGAUUGCAGCUCCAAAUGGGUGGUAAACAUCACCUAAGGCUAAAUAUUGGCGAGAGACCGAUAGCGAACAAGUACCGUGAGGGAAAGAUGAAAAGAACUUUGAAAAGAGAGUUAAACAGUACGCGAAAUUGUUGAAAGGGAAACGAUUGAAGUCAGUCGUGCUGGCGCGAAAUCAACCAUCUCGUCUUGAGGUCACAUGGCGCGACGAGCCUCAAAACCGUCACGAAGCGUGAACUCUUGACGAAAAGGUGCACUUUCGUGUCCGCUGGUUAACAUCAAUUUCGAUCGUCAUAAAAAGGCUGGAGGGAUGUGGCUCCUUCGGGAGUGUUAUAACCUUUAGCGGAAUGUGGUGUUCGGGAUUGAGGAUUGCAACGAAUACCUUCAGGGCUGUUCCACCUGGCUUCUCAUUGGUAUCCUGGUGACGACAGCUUGC